CAAGCAGUCUUGAGGAUGGCAUUGGUUCUGUCAAUGCUUGAUACUAUUUCAACAAGAGGACGGACUCUUUGGCAAUCAAUCAACUAUGAAAUCAGUGGAGAGGAUGUCAAAAGUGUGUAUAACCUGAAUGUUAGUCUGGUAUGUACCCUGCCUGAAUUUGUUUCCCUUGUUGUCCCUUUUUCUUUCUUUGCCCCUUCCUAAUGACAGAAUAGUAUUGUGAAUGGGUCGUUUAAUAAAGAUUUGGCUGAGGCCUUCUUUCUUGGAGGUUGAAGGGGCAAUCUCAGCCUCUAUCACUUGAUAUUGUAAAUUU
rnacentral:misc_RNA from 1 species